CUGGGAGUUAGCAGGACAACCCCCUAAGGGGAAGGACUGGGGGAAAUCUCUCCUCCUUUCACUGUUCCUUAAAGAGAGCACCCCUGCCAUCUCCCAUUGCAUCAGAUGCUGGAAGGCAGUGGCAGCCGGGCACCUAACAGAGGAAGACGAUGCAGAGCUGGUGACCAGGGAGGGAGCUACAAGAGGGAAUGGGGUGUCUUCAGCGGGAGACUGGAGGAAACAGAAGGGCUUCAAGACCAUCCAUGCCACUGGAGUAGGCUCGGAGGCAGUGGCUGUGCUGUGUGAAAUGAACGAUUCACUCAAGAGGAAAUAUGAUUUAUCUCUCGUUUGUGGAGCUAGUCAGGAAGACAUUUCUCUGGGGAGUCUUAUUUUCUUAUUGGAUUUAUGAGAAGCAGGUGUUCAGAAAUGGGAGAAAAUUGAUGUCAUGGCACCUGCAAGAGAAGAACCCCAACGGGGGCUGGAUUUCAGAUGGACACCCUCUGUGCCAUAGGUGAUGUUACACUAACGACCACAUGCUGGUGAUGUUGCUCAGAGAUCCCUGAGCAGGCUCCCCCUAUGACUCAGCCCGUUGGUCUGUUUCUCCUAAGAUGUUAACAGGCAUGAAAGCUCCCAGUCAUCUUCUUGGGUUCUGAGAAUGUGCAGAUUUCUCACUGGUGAAACCACCCACUGCUUCCUUCAACAGGGCACUGCAGAUUGAAGGGGGUUUCUGGACUUGGGGGAAGAUGUGAUCUGCAGCAGAAGUUUAUUGUUCCUUAUAUCACUGAUUUCAGGACAUUGGUGGGAACAGAGUCUUACCUUAGGGCACAGAAAAAUAUUUAUGCUUUUCUGCUUCUGGUCUUUCUCAGGAGUGAUGGAACUUAGCCCACGCCUAGGCACAGACAAAAAAUGUGGGAGAGGUUGCGAUCCCAAGGGGAACUCUCAACUAAUGGGGAGCAGAAGCCAGUAGACAAAUAUCCAGAUUUCCAUCCUUCAGAGGGCCAAGUCUGAGGCAUAUUCUACAUGAUUCCCUAAGACUGAACCCCCGUUUCCCACAGUAGUCCCCAGCUCAAUAUUGUACUCUUUCUUUAAAAAAAUGUGGGGGACUCAAGAUGGCGCUGUGAGAACAACCCAGGAUUGGAGCCCGCGUUGAAUCCGCAAACGGUGAGUCAGUGCUGCAUUUCCAGACUGAUCUUUGUUGCCCACAGAACGGGGAAACUCCCAAGUAUAAAAAGACACGGGACGCCAGGCAGUAGGUCUGCCUGGCGAAGCCGGCAGCCGGGGCGGCGGCGGCCGG
rnacentral:lncRNA from 13 species